CUUGGAUGACUUGUGGGUAGCGGAGAAAUUCCAAACGAACUUGGAGAUAGCUGGUUCUCUCCGAAAUAGCUUUAGGGCUAGCGUCGACAUUAGAGAUUCUUGGAGGUAGAGCACUGUUUGGGUGAGGGGUCCAUCCCGGAUUACCAAUCUCAGAUAAACUCCGAAUGCCAAUGAAUUAUGGUCGGCAGUCUUGGAUGACUUGUGGGUAGCGGAGAAAUUCCAAACGAACUUGGAGAUAGCUGGUUCUCUCCGAAAUAGCUUUAGGGCUAGCGUCGACAUUAGAGAUUC
rnacentral:rRNA from 1 species